CAUUGUUCUAAUUAUUAUAACUUCAAAAUGCAUGUUAAAAGAACGAUAUGAGUCUAUAUCACAUAGAAAUAUGACAUCAAUAUUCUGUAGAAUAAAGAGGAGAGGGAGAUCAAAUUCCUAGCAUAAGAGAGUCUUAUAAAAUGUAAUGACAGGAGUGACAUCCUAACUUCUUUGCCAUACACUGUUGGUAAGAAGCAGUUUACAAGUCCCACCCAAACUCCAGGAGAGGGAAUUACACAAAAGUGUAAGUACCAGGAGGCCAGAAUUGUGGGGGCCAAUCUCUUUGUUUUAUUCCUUUCCUAGUACACGUUCAGCCCUAUACUGGCCAACAGAGUCAAGAACACUUCUUUUAUCCUGUUAAAUAUGUCAGUCCUCCUUCUCCAUCCUUUUUUGAGAAGUGCUUUCUGGAGGCUUCUAACCUCUUGCUGCAGUUUGGACUGUUGCUUUCUGGCCCUGCUGCACAGCUGUUAUCCUAGGAUUUUCAUUUACCAUCACACAGGAUUCCCUUUGCUUGAUUCCUGGUUUGCAUCAGCAUUUUCCUGGAGCCUAUGCCUUUUUCCUUCUAUUUUUCUACGGUAUUUUAGAAAUCUUGUUCGGGGAAAUUAUCAUACUAGCAAUUUUGAUUUCAACUCUGUCUGUCUCUCUCUCUUCCCCUUGCCAUUGUAUUCCCUAAAGCCUGUUAAGCAUUGGAGAUUUGUUCCUUCUGAGACAGUGGAAAUAUAGAUAAAUUUUGUGCAGAAAAAUGCAUUGAGCUGCAUAGAAAAGGCAAAAAAAAAAAAAAAAGAAUGGAUAAGUGAAUAAACACAGCUCUUCUUACAUCUGCAUAACUUUUUUUUUACAGCUUACAUCUUUACGUAGCUAAACAUGACAAGUUUGACUUCCCAUUUGAUAUGAUAUUUUGGCUAGGUAACGAAUUAUCAGUCGGAAGUAAAUUUGCAUUAGAAUUUUGAAGGUGUUGCUCCAGUGUCUUCCAUUUUUCGUAUUGCUGCUGCUGAGAGUGAUUUCAUUCUGAAGUGUGAGUCCUUGUGUAUGACCUUGUUGUCUCUACAAGCUUUCAGUAUCCUUUCUCUAUCCUUUUAUUUUGAAAUUUUAUGACAUCGUGCUUUAUGAAUCUUUUUUCAUUGUUUUUUCUUUCUUAACUGUUUAUUUUUUAACUCAG
rnacentral:lncRNA from 1 species